CUUGGUCAUUUAGAGGAAGUAAAAGUCGUAACAAGGUUUCCGUAGGUGAACCUGCGGAAGGAUCAUUCACAAUAAGUGUUUUAUGGCACUUUUUAAACAAUCCAUAUCCACCUUGUGUGCAACGUUAUGAGACCCUCUAUCGUUAUCUUUUAGGUUACGGAAGGGGGAACCUCUACAACUUACCAACAUCACCUUUAACUUAUUUGUCUGAACAUUUGUUAUCACGAAUUAACUUAAUUCGAAAAUACAACUUUCAGCAACGGAUCUCUUGGCUCUCGCAUCGGUGAAGAACGCAGCGAAAUGCGAUACGUAAUGUGAAUUGCAGAAUUCAGUGAAUCAUCGAAUCUUUGAACGCACAUUGCGCUCUCUGGUAUUCCGGAGAGCAUGCUUGUUUGAGUAUCAGUAAAACACCCUCAGUUUCUGUCUCUUUUGAGACGGGAACUGGACUUGAGCGAUCCCAACGGCGGUAGAAUCUUCUACUAUCGGCGGGUUGCUUGAAAUGCAGGUGCGGCAGGACACAUCUUCUGAGCUAUAAGCAUUACUUAUUUAGUCCCGUUAAAACGGACUAUUACUAUUGCUGCAGCUAAUAUAAAGGUUGAUUGUCCGUUUUGCCCGACUGAUGCAGGAAUUGUCAGAGGCUCUGUCCUUUGUUCAACUCGAUCUCAAAUCAAGUAAGACUACCCGCUGAACUUAAGCAUAUCAAUAAGCGGAGGAA
rnacentral:rRNA from 1 species